rnacentral:rRNA from 1 species
UGGGGAAUCGUUCCGCAAUGGACGAAAGUCUGACGGAGCAACGCCGCGUGUAUGAUGAAGGUCUUCGGAUUGUAAAGUACUGUCAUUGGGGAAGAACGGUUUUCUUGAAAAGAUUGAGAAGACAUGACGGUACCCAAGGAGGAAGCCCCGGCUAACUACGUGCCAGCAGCCGCGGUAAUACGUAGGGGGCAAGCGUUGUCCGGAAUUAUUGGGCGUAAAGGGCGCGUAGGCGGGCCUUUAAGUCCGGUGUGAAAGAUCAGGGCUCAACCCUGAGAGUGCAUCGGAAACUGGAGGCCUUGAGGACAGGAGAGGAAAGUGGAAUUCCACGUGUAGCGGUGAAAUGCGUAGAUAUGUGGAGGAACACCAGUUGCGAAGGCGACUUUCUGGACUGUAACUGACGCUGAGGCGCGAAAGCGUGGGGAGCAAACAGGAUUAGAUACCCUGGUAGUCCACGCCGUAAACGAUGAGUGCU